UUUUUAAUCACUGAAUGGUUUCUUUAGUAGAUACAUUUAUAAAUAAAUAAGUGAACAAACAACAAAAGGCACAUGUGAAAGAUGGAUUAGCAUACAUGAAUAUACAGCUUCCAUAAGAAAUGGAAAUGACAAUCAUGUGAGAGGAACAAGUGGAGAAAGCCUUUUUUCUUUGACUGGCAGAUGGGAUUCUUAAAAUGGUCCUGAUAAUGUACAUGUAAGAUAAAAUCACUAAUGCCAAAGUGAACAGCAAAGUAACCAAAGCAAAGUAAAAACCAAUUACUUCUAGGAGCCAUGUGUCUGAACAAGAUAGUUGUAAGAGGGGAAAAUAGUCACAUGCAAAGUGAUCAAUGACGUUGGAAGCACAGUAAUCCAGCUGGAGGA
rnacentral:lncRNA from 1 species